rnacentral:rRNA from 1 species
GACGAACGCUGGCGGCGUGCUUAACACAUGCAAGUCGAACGGAAAGGCCCUGCUUUUGUGGGGUGCUCGAGUGGCGAACGGGUGAGUAACACGUGAGUAACCUGCCCUUGACUUUGGGAUAACUUCAGGAAACUGGGGCUAAUACCGGAUAGGAGCUCCUGCUGCAUGGUGGGGGUUGGAAAGUUUCGGCGGUCGGGGGUGGACUCGCGGCUUAUCAGCUUGUUGGUGGGGGAGUGGCUUACCAAGGCUUUGACGGGUAGCCGGCCUGAGAGGGUGGCCGGCGACAUUGGGACUGAGAGACGGACCAGAGUCCUACGGGGGGCAGCAGUGGGGAAUAUUGCACAAUGGGCGGAAGCCUGAUGCAGAAACGCCGCGUGCGGGAUGACGGCCUGCGGGUUGUAAACCGCUUUCGCCUGUGACGAAGCGUGAGUGACGGUAAUGGGUAAAGAAGCACCGGCUAACUACGUG